AUUCAUUUGUUUCAAGAGAGAGAGAGAGCGCUCCAGACUUGAGAAGAGAUAGAAGAGAAGCUAUUCCACCUUCAAAUAUACUUUUUUCACAAACCGGAGUUUCGAUUGACGACCUGUUUGCGGCUAUGCAUCGCUCUUAACUCUCUCUACGUUUCUAUACCACUUUUGCUGUGAGUAAUCACGGAAACUCUACCCUAUUUCUCUAUUUCUCUCAAUUUUUGUGUUUUGGAUAUGUGAGUGUUAAAAUUGGUGAUUUUAAUGCAUUAAGAGAAACUCAAGCUCAAUUUCUAGCGGGAUUUUGACCUAUGAUCAUUUAGAGUAAGAUAUAGGAACUAUUUCCCUCUUUUCUUCUAAUUUGUAUGAGAAUCUAGUAUGAAAAAUAUGAAAUUUUGAAUGAAAUUAGAUUGAGUAUAGUUGCUUGGUUGCUUGGCUUGGUUGGAGGUGAUUGAGGCUUGACUUGGUCGGGAAAGGAGAUUCAAGAGGUUGGAACCGCCGUCAAUUAAGAUGUGAGAAAACAGAAAAGUGGAGGUUUCAAAAUCUAAGUUAAGGAUUCAAGCACAACUUUAAGAGGCAAUGCAAGACCAUGAGGAUCUAACAAAGCAAAUAGAUGUGCUAAAAAAAAAACUUGAAGAGCAACGAACACGGCAAGAGGAAGAAUUAGCUCAAAUGAAAGUUCAAUUGGAAGCUCAACAAGCCGUUGUGAACUCUUUCAUAGUGCGCUUUGACAAUGAAAGAAACUAGACCCUAAAGAAGUGCUGAAAUGAUGACCACAUGCUACCUUGAGGGCUCAAGAAUAUUUUGAUUCAUAAAGUCACUGAUCUAUGUUAGAACUUUUAACUUUUGAUUGAACUUAUGCAAGACAUAUAACUUGUAGAACUAAUCAAUGUACUCACUAAGAUUAUUUUGUUUUAAAAUAAUUUUAGCUAAAUGAGGCAUGUUUGAA